rnacentral:rRNA from 1 species
AACGAACGCUGGCGGCAGGCUUAACACAUGCAAGUCGAACGCCCCGCAAGGGGAGUGGCAGACGGGUGAGUAACGCGUGGGAACGUGCCCUUCGCUUCGGAAUAGCCCCGGGAAACUGGGAGUAAUACCGAAUACGCCGUAUUGGGAAAGAUUUAUCGGCGAAGGAUCGGCCCGCGUUAGAUUAGCUAGUUGGCGGUGUAAUGGACCACCAAGGCUACGAUCUAUAGCUGGUCUGAGAGGAUGAUCAGCCACACUGGGACUGAGACACGGCCCAGACUCCUACGGGAGGCAGCAGUGGGGAAUCUUGGACAAUGGGCGCAAGCCUGAUCCAGCCAUGCCGCGUGAGUGAAGAAGGCCUUAGGGUUGUAAAACUCUUUCGCCGGAGAAGAUAAUGACGGUAUCCAGAGAAGAAGCCCCGGCUAACUUCGUGCCAGCAGCCGCGGUAACAC